GCGUCAGCCGGUUAGUGCAACGGUUAGCAUACGUUCCCGGAAAGAGUGAGAUCUGGGUUCGAAUCCCGGCUGACGCA